rnacentral:rRNA from 1 species
CAGCUUGUUGGUGAGGUAACGGCUCACCAAGGCGUCGACGGGUAGCCGGCCUGAGAGGGCGACCAGCCACGUUGGGACUGAGAUACGGCCCAGACUCAUACGGGAGGCAGCAGUGGGGAAUAUUGCACAAUGGGCGAAAGCUGAUGCAGCAACGCCGCGUGCGGGAUGACGGCCUUCGGGUUGUAACCGCUUUCAGCAGGGACGAAGGGUUUCUGACGGUACCUGCAGAAGAAGCACCGGCUAACUACGUGCCAGCAGCCGCGGUGAUACGUAGGGUGCGAGCGUUGUCCGGAAUUAUUGGGCGUAAAGAGCUUGUAGGCGGUUCGUUGCGUCGGAAGUGAAAACUCAGGGCUUAACCUGAGCCUGCUUUCGAUACUCUCGGACUUGAGGGAUGUAGGGGAGAACGGAAUUCCUGGUUGAGCGGUGGAAUGCGCAGAUAUCAGGAGGAACACCAGUUGCGAAGGCGGUUCUCUGGAAAUUUCCUGACGCUGAGAAGCGAAACGCGUGGGAGCAAACAGGCUUAGAUCCCCUGGUAGUCCACGCCGUAAACGGUGGGCACUAGGUGUGGGAUCCAUUCCACGGAUUCCGUGCCGAAGUAACGCAUUAAGUGCCCGCCUGGGAGUACCGCCGCAAGGCUAAAACUCAAAGGAAUUGACGGGGCCCCGCACAAGCGGCGGAGCAUGGGGAUUAAUUCGAUGCAACGCGAAGGACCUUACCUGGGUUUGACAUAUACCGGAAACAUCUGGAGACAGGUGCCCCGCAAGGUCGGAAUACAGGUGGUGCAUGGCUGUCGUCAGCUCGUGUCGUGAGAUGUUGGGUUAAGUCCCGCAACGAGCGCAACCCUCGUUCUAUGUUGCCAGCGGUUCGGCCGGGAACUCAUAGAAGACUGCCGGGGUCAACUCGGAGGAAGGUGGGGAUGACGUCAAGUCAUCAUGCCCCUUAUGUCCAGGGCUUCACGCAUGCAACAAUGGCUGGUACAAAGGGCUGCAAUACCGCAAGGUGGAGCGAAUCCCAUAAAGCCAGUCUCAGUUCGGAUUGGGGUCUGCAACUCGACCCCAUGAAGUCGGAGUCGCUAGUAAUCGCAGAUCAGCAACGCUGCGGUGAAUACGUUCCCGGG